UUACGGUCAUAUCAAAAUGAAACAUCUGUUCCCCUCCGAUCACCAAAGUUAAGCAACGCCGAGCCUUGUCAGUACUUAAAUGGGAAACCGCUUGGGAAUACUAGGUACUGUAAG